GACAGAGGGUGCAAACGUUGCUCGGAAUUACUGGGCGUAAAGCGCGCGUAGGUGGUUUGUUAAGUUGGAUGUGAAAUCCCCGGGCUCAACCUGGGAACUGCAUUCAAAACUGACAAGCUAGAGUAUGGUAGAGGGUGGUGGAAUUUCCUGUGUAGCGGUGAAAUGCGUAGAUAUAGGAAGGAACACCAGUGGCGAAGGCGACCACCUGGACUGAUACUGACACUGAGGUGCGAAAGCGUGGGGAGCAAACAGG
rnacentral:rRNA from 1 species